CCUACGGGAGGCAGCAGUGGGGAAUAUUGGACAAUGGGGGCAACCCUGAUCCAGCAAUGCCGCGUGAAUGAUGAAGGCCUUAGGGUUGUAAAGUUCUUUUAUUGAUGACGAUAAUGACGGUAAUCAAUGAAUAAGCACCGGCUAACUUCGUGCCAGCAGCCGCGGUAAUACGAAGGGUGCUAGCGUUGUUCGGAAUGACUGGGCGUAAAGGGUGCGUAGGCGGCAAGAUGCGUCUGAUGUGAAAUCCCUGGGCUUAACCUAGGAACUGCAUUGGAUACGGUCUUACUAGAGUCCGCGAGAGGAAGGUGGAAUUGUGCGUGUAGAGGUGAAAUUCGUAGAUAUGCACAAGAACACCGGUGGCGAAGGCGAUCUUCUGGAGCGGUACUGACGCUAAGGCACGAAAGCGUGGGGAGCAAACAGGAUUAGAUACCCUGGUAGUCCACGCUGUAAACGAUGAUUAUUAGAUGUCGGGAGGGUUACCUUUCGGUAUCGCAGCUAACGCAUUAAAUAAUCCGCCUGGGGAUACGGUCGCAAGAUUAAAACUCAAAUGAUGAGNGNGAGAGNGCGAGACGACGACGAGGGAGAG
rnacentral:rRNA from 1 species